UGUGUGUGUGUGUGUGUGUGUGUGUGUGUGUGUGUGUGUGUGUGUGAGAGAGUGUGUGAGUGUGUGUUACUGUGUGUGUGUGUGUGUGUGUGUGUGUGUAAAGGCUUUGAGAACCAAUAGGUGGAAAAGAUCUAUAUCCACCUUAUUCUAACUCCCAUGAUCCUUUGCACCAGUUAUGGACUCUAUUAAAAUCUCUAAUAAAAUACGUGGAAACAUCAUCUUUUACACCUCAAACGGGACAUUGUCACCGCACUGUCUUCUACUCUGGAGGACGGAGGACAAUCUGAAGAGACAGAGGACGAUGUGAAGGGACGGAGGACGAUGUGAAGAGACAGAGGACGAUGUGAAGAGACGGAGGACGAUCUGAAGGGACAGAGGACGAUGUGAAGGGACGGAGGACGAUCUGAAGAGACAGAGGACGAUGUGAAGGGACAGAGGACGAUGUGAAGAGACGGAGGACGAUGUGAAGAGACAGAGGACGAUGUGAAGGGACAGAGGACGAUGUGAAGAGACAGAGGACGAUGUGAAGGGACGGAGGACAAUCUGAAGAAGUGGCCACAGAUCAUUUGCAUUUACUUCCGUGGGCACAGACAGUGAAGCUAUGAACAAACUUAGAAGCUCGUAUCAGAACCUUCACAGAAACUAAGUCGGUCUCUGUUAAAGGACGUGGGACACGACCUCAUGUAUCUGAAACCAGACGCAGAGACGAGUCAGAGCCUUAAAGUCCCACAUCACAGGGUUUUAGUUUCACACAAACAGCUGCUGCUCAUGUGGUGCAGGAGCAGAGAGAUCAGCAAAACCAUGGACGGCGACAGACGGCAAACCAUGGCUGCUGCAACAAAUCGAGUUUUCCUCCGUCAGCUUUUGGUCGAUGAAAUGAAAUGAACAGACGAACAGUGUUUUUGGGGUCUCUUCUCUUCUGGCCUCCUCGUCUGUAGGAAGGCGAUGGAAACUGGAGCGAUUCCUUUCUGGUCUUAUAUUAGCAACUGGCUAACGGCUACUUCUGCUACCGAACCGGACGUCGCACUCACACUGAGUCACGGCCCAGAAAUAAGUGGCUCGGUCGUUAGGGUUGAUGCCUCCCAUCGAUGAAAGUCCGGGUUCGUGUCCAGUCUUUCUGGGUGGAGUUUGCAUGUUCUCCCUGUGUUCGCGUGGGUUCUCCGGCUUCGUUAGGCUGAUUGGUGAAAAUGAUCCUAGGAUUAAUCCAGGUCUGAAUGUUUUAUAAGGAACAAACUGAAGCUGCUGAUUCACUUCAUUCCUCCCGAACACGUUAGAGAAGCUCAUUAAUACUGUAAUAAUACUGUGAUAAUACGGUGAUAAUACUGUAAUAAUACUGUAAUAAUACUGUGAUAAUACUGUAAUGAUACUGUGAUAAUACUGUGAUAAUACUGUAAUGAUACUGUA